GGCGGCGUGCUUAACACAUGCAAGUCACGGGGGCUCGCAAGAGCAACCGGCGAACGGGUGCGUAACACGUGAGCAACCUACCGAUUUGUGGGGGAUANCUGGCCUAACGGCCAGGUAAUACCGCAUACGCUCUUUUGGUCUCAUGACUGAUUGAGGAAACCUCCGGGGCAAAUCGAGGGGCUCGCGGCCUAUCAGCUAGUUGGCGAGGUCACGGCUCACCAAGGCGACGACGGGUAGCUGGUCUGAGAGGAUGGCCAGCCACAUUGGGACUGAGAAACGGCCCAGACUCCUACGGGAGGCAGCAGUGGGGAAUCUUGCGCAAUGGACGAAAGUCUGACGCAGCGACGCCGCGUGGGGGAUGACGGCUUUCGGGUUGUAAACCCCUGUUGCCCGGGACGAACUUCUUCCUUUGGGAAGAUUGACGGUACCGGGUGAGGAAGCACCGGCUAACUCUGUGCCAGCAGCCGCGGUAAUACAGAGGGUGCGAGCGUUGUCCGGAAUCACUGGGCGUAAAGGGCGCGUANGUGGCGCGACAAGUCAGUGGUGAAAGCUCGACGCUCAACGUCGA
rnacentral:rRNA from 1 species